AACGAACGCUGGCGGCAUGCCUAACACAUGCAAGUCGAACGAGACCUUCGGGUCUAGUGGCGCACGGGUGCGUAACGCGUGGGAACCUGCCCUUAGGUUCGGAAUAACUCCCCGAAAGGGGUGCUAAUACCGGAUAAUGUCUUCGGACCAAAGAUUUAUCGCCUUUGGAUGGGCCCGCGUUGGAUUAGCUAGUUGGUAGGGUAAAAGCCUACCAAGGCGACGAUCCAUAGCUGGUCUGAGAGGAUGAUCAGCCACACUGGGACUGAGACACGGCCCAGACUCCUACGGGGGGCAGCAGUGGGGAAUAUUGGAAAAGGGGCGAAAGCCUGAUCCAGAAAUCCCGGGGGGGUUAUGAAGGCUUUAGGUUUGUAAAGCUUUUUUCCCCGGGAUGAUAAUGACAGUACCGGGAGAAUAAGCCCCGGCAAACUCCGU
rnacentral:rRNA from 1 species